rnacentral:lncRNA from 1 species
UUGUAUUUCUCUAUUGUAACGUAUGUUUAAAGAAAUAUUGUUUUUUUUACCAUCUUAAUGUAUGUGUAACAAAUGUUGUUUUAUAUAAUAUGUAUUUCUUUAGUUUUUAAAAAAUUAUUUGGAGUUUUAGGGUUUUAGAGUUUAAGUUGGAGAAAGAGAACGAAGUAGUAGAGAAGAGAUAUGAUGUUAGAUGAUAUGUGACUUUGG